rfam:Clavispora lusitaniae ATCC 42720 scaffold_2 genomic scaffold, whole genome shotgun sequence.
UUGCAUGAUGAUUCUUCAUAUUCACACUGUACUAGAAGUUUCUGCUUCGGUGACUACAAAAACACAAAAACUGAUUUAAUGACUCUGAUA